rnacentral:snRNA from 1 species
GUGUUCACUUCGGCAGCACAUAUACUAAAAUUGGAGCAAUACAGAGAAGAUUAGCAUGGCCCCUGAACAAGGAUGACACAAAAAUUCAUGAAGCAUUCCAUCUUAAA